rnacentral:rRNA from 1 species
AUGCUCAGGACGAACGCUGGCGGCGUGCCUAAUACAUGCAAGUCGUACGCUUCUUUUUCCACCGGAGCUUGCUCCACCGGAAAAAGAGGAGUGGCGAACGGGUGAGUAACACGUGGGUAACCUGCCCAUCAGAAGGGGAUAACACUUGGAAACAGGUGCUAAUACCGUAUAACAAUCGAAACCGCAUGGUUUUGAUUUGAAAGGCGCUUUCGGGUGUCGCUGAUGGAUGGACCCGCGGUGCAUUAGCUAGUUGGUGAGGUAACGGCUCACCAAGGCCACGAUGCAUAGCCGACCUGAGAGGGUGAUCGGCCACAUUGGGACUGAGACACGGCCCAAACUCCUACGGGAGGCAGCAGUAGGGAAUCUUCGGCAAUGGACGAAAGUCUGACCGAGCAACGCCGCGUGAGUGAAGAAGGUUUUCGGAUCGUAAAACUCUGUUGUUAGAGAAGAACAAGGAUGAGAGUAACUGUUCAUCCCUUGACGGUAUCUAACCAGAAAGCCACGGCUAACUACGUGCCAGCAGCCGCGGUAAUACGUAGGUGGCAAGCGUUGUCCGGAUUUAUUGGGCGUAAAGCGAGCGCAGGCGGUUUCUUAAGUCUGAUGUGAAAGCCCCCGGCUCAACCGGGGAGGGUCAUUGGAAACUGGGAGACUUGAGUGCAGAAGAGGAGAGUGGAAUUCCAUGUGUAGCGGUGAAAUGCGUAGAUAUAUGGAGGAACACCAGUGGCGAAGGCGGCUCUCUGGUCUGUAACUGACGCUGAGGCUCGAAAGCGUGGGGAGCAAACAGGAUUAGAUACCCUGGUAGUCCACGCCGUAAACGAUGAGUGCUAAGUGUUGGAGGGUUUCCGCCCUUCAGUGCUGCAGCUAACGCAUUAAGCACUCCGCC